rnacentral:rRNA from 1 species
AUUGAACGCUGGCGGCAGGCCUAACACAUGCAAGUCGAACGGAGCGCCAGACGGGUGAGUAUGGCCUAUGAAUCUGCAUCGGAGUGGGGGAUAACGUCCGGUAACGGAAGCUGAUACUGCUUACUAUCAGAUGCGCCUAUGUCGGAUUAGGUUUUUGGUGGGGUAAAGGUCUACCAAGGCUACGACCCGUAACUGGUCCGAGAGGAUGAUCAGGCACACUGGAACUGAGACACGGUCCAGACUCCUACGGGAGGCAGCAGUGGGGAAUAUUGGACAAUGGGCGAAAGCCUGAUGCAGCCAUGCCGCGUGUGUGAAGAAGGUCUUCGGAUUGUAAAGCACUUUAAGUUAGGAGGCGUUACUAACAGAAGAAGCACCGGCUAACUUCGUGCCAGCAGCCGCGGUAAUUC